GAUGAACGCUGGCGGCGUGCCUAAUACAUGCAAGUCGAGCGAACAGACGAGGAGCUUGCUCCUCUGACGUUAGCGGCGGACGGGUGAGUAACACGUGGAUAACCUACCUAUAAGACUGGGAUAACUUCGGGAAACCGGAGCUAAUACCGGAUAAUAUAUUGAACCGCAUGGUUCAAUAGUGAAAGACGGUUUUGCUGUCACUUAUAGAUGGUUCCGCGCCGCAUUAGCUAGUUGGGACGGUAAAGGCUUACCAAGGCUACCAUGCGUAGCCGACCUGCGGGGGUGAUCGGCCACACGGGAACUGAAACACGGACCAUACUCCUACGGGAGGGCGCAGUAGGGAAUCUUCCGCAGUGGGGGAGAGCCUGACGGAGCAACGCCACGUGAGUGAUGAAGGUCUUCGGAUCGUAAAACUCUGUUAUUAGGGAAGAACAAAUGUGUAAGUAACUAUGCACGUCUUGACGGUACCUAAUCAGAAAGCCACGGCUAACUACGUG
rnacentral:rRNA from 1 species